rnacentral:rRNA from 1 species
GUUGUAUGGUUAAGUGACUAAGCGUACACGGUGGAUGCCUUGGCAGUCAGAGGCGAUGAAAGACGUAGUAACUUGCGAUAAGCCCAGAUUAGGUAGUAACAACCAUUUGAGUCUGGGAUUUCUGAAUGGGGAAACCCACGUGCAUAAGCACGUAUCCUUACCUGAAUACAUAGGGUAAGGAGGCGAACCGGGGGAACUGAAACAUCUAAGUACCCCGAGGAAAAGAAAUCAACCGAGAUUCCGAAAGUAGCGGCGAGCGAAAUUGGACUAGCCCUUAAGCUUUACACGCGUUAGACGAACGGUCUGGAAAGUCCGACGAUACAGGGUGAUAGUCCCGUAGUUGACGACGUGUGUUCAGUGAAAUCGAGUAGGGCGGGACACGUGAUAUCCUGUCUGAAUAUGGGGGGACCAUCCUCCAAGGCUAAAUACUACUGACUGACCGAUAGUGAACCAGUACCGUGAGGGAAAGGCGAAAAGAACCCCUGUGAGGGGAGUGAAAUAGAACCUGAAACCGUGUACGUACAAGCAGUAGGAGCAGGCUUUGUCCUGUGACUGCGUACCUUUUGUAUAAUGGGUCAGCGACUUAUAUUCAGUGGCAAGGUUAACCAUCUAGGGGAGCCGUAGGGAAACCGAGUCUUAACUGGGCGUUCAGUCUCUGGAUAUAGACCCGAAACCAGGUGAUCUAGCCAUGGGCAGGUUGAAGGUUGAGUAACAUCAACUGGAGGACCGAACCGACUAAUGUUGAAAAAUUAGCGGAUGACUUGUGGCUAGGGGUGAAAGGCCAAUCAAACCUGGAGAUAGCUGGUUCUCCCCGAAAGCUAUUUAGGUAGCGCCUCGGACGAAUACUACUGGGGGUAGAGCACUGUUAAGGCUAGGGGGUCAUCCCGACUUACCAACCCUUUGCAAACUCCGAAUACCAGUAAGUACUAUCCGGGAGACACACGGCGGGUGCUAACGUCCGUCGUGGAGAGGGAAACAACCCAGACCGCCAGCUAAGGUCCCAAAUUACUACUAAGUGGGAAACGAUGUGGGAAGGCUCAGACAGCCAGGAUGUUGGCUUAGAAGCAGCCAUCAUUUAAAGAAAGCGUAAUAGCUCACUGGUCGAGUCGGCCUGCGCGGAAGAUGUAACGGGGCUAAGUAGUAAACCGAAGCUGCGGCAAUAUACUUUUGUAUAUUGGGUAGGGGAGCGUUCUGUAAGCGGUUGAAGGUGUGUGGUAACGCAUGCUGGACGUAUCAGAAGUGCGAAUGCUGACAUGAGUAACGAUAAAGGGGGUGAAAAACCUCCUCGCCGGAAGACCAAGGGUUCCUGUCCAACGUUAAUCGGGGCAGGGUAAGUCGACCCCUAAGGCGAGGCCGAAAGGCGUAGUCGAUGGGAAACGGGUUAAUAUUCCCGUACUUCUUACAAUUGCGAUGGGGGGACGGAGAAGGCUAGGUGGGCCUGGCGACGGUUGUCCAGGUUCAAGUGCGUAGGCUUAAGAGUUAGGUAAAUCCGGCUCUUUUUAAGGCUGAGACACGACGUCGAGCACCUACGGGUGUGAAGUCAUUGAUGCCAUGCUUCCAGGAAAAGCCUCUAAGCUUCAGAUUGUAAGGAAUCGUACCCCAAACCGACACAGGUGGUCGGGUAGAGAAUACCAAGGCGCUUGAGAGAACUCGGGUGAAGGAACUAGGCAAAAUGGUACCGUAACUUCGGGAGAAGGUACGCUCUUGAUGGUGAAGUCCCUCGCGGAUGGAGCUGACGAGAGUCGCAGAUACCAGGUGGCUGCAACUGUUUAUUAAAAACACAGCACUGUGCAAAAUCGUAAGAUGACGUAUACGGUGUGACGCCUGCCCGGUGCCGGAAGGUUAAUUGAUGGGGUUAGACUUCGGUCGAAGCUCUUGAUCGAAGCCCCGGUAAACGGCGGCCGUAACUAUAACGGUCCUAAGGUAGCGAAAUUCCUUGUCGGGUAAGUUCCGACCUGCACGAAUGGCGUAAUGAUGGCCACGCUGUCUCCACCCGAGACUCAGUGAAAUUGAAAUCGCUGUGAAGAUGCAGUGUACCCGCGGCUAGACGGAAAGACCCCGUGAACCUUUACUACAGCUUGGCACUGAACAUUGACCCUACAUGUGUAGGAU